rnacentral:rRNA from 1 species
UCGAGUGCGCGGUAGCAAUACUGGCGCACGGCGCACGGGUGCGUAACACGUGGGCAACCUGCCCUGCAAUGGGGGAUAACCCGCCGAAAGGCGGGCUAAUACCGCAUGACAUCACGAUGGCUUCGGCUGUUGUGAUCAAAGGCCGCAAGGCCGUUGGAGGAGGGGCCCGCGCCCGAUUAGCUAGUUGGUGAGGUAACGGCUCACCAAGGCUAUGAUCGGUAGCCGGUCUGAGAGGAUGGCCGGCCACACUGGAACUGAGACACGGUCCAGACUCCUACGGGAGGCAGCAGUGGGGAAUCUUGCGCAAUGGGCGAAAGCCUGACGCAGCGACGCCGCGUGGGGGAUGAAGCUUCUCGGAGUGUAAACCCCUUUCGACCCGGAAGAAUGUCCCGCAAGGGAUUGACGGUACGGGUAUAAGAAGCCCCGGCUAACUACGUGCCAGCAGCCGCGGUAAGACGUAGGGGGCCAGCGUUGCUCGGAAUUACUGGGCGUAAAGGGUUCGUAGGCGGUGUGGCAAGUCGGAAGUGAAAUCUCCAGGCUCAACUUGGAGGCUGCUCCCGAAACUGCCGCGCUAGAGUGCGAGAGAGGCCAGUGGAAUUGCAGGUGUAGCGGUGAAAUGCGUAGAUAUCUGCAGGAACACCCGUGGCGAAGGCGGCUGGCUGGAUCGCAACUGACGCUGAGGAACGAAAGCUAGGGGAGCAAACAGGAUUAGAUACCCUGGUAGUCCUAGCCCUAAACGAUCAGGACUUGGGGUGCAUCCCGAC